UACGUAGGGUGCGAGCGUUGUCCGGAAUCAUUGGGCGUAAAGCGCGUGUAGGCGGUCCGGUAAGUCCGCUGUGAAAGUCGGGGGCUCAACCCUCGAAUGCCGGUGGAUACUGUCGGGCUAGAGUGCGGAAGAGGCGAGUGGAAUUCCUGGUGUAGCGGUGAAAUGCGCAGAUAUCAGGAGGAACACCUAUUGCGAAGGCAGCUCGCUGGGACGUAACUGACGCUGAGACGCGAAAGCGUGGGGAGCAAACAGG
rnacentral:rRNA from 1 species